UACAAACACGCACACUGCAUUAUAUACACACACUACACAAACACACUGUGUAUAUAAUGCAGUGUGUGUGUGUGGU
rnacentral:miRNA from 1 species